GUGGUGGUGGAAUGCUGACAGAUUUAUCGCUUAGCCCGGGGCUCAAAGGUGAUAUCCUGACAGAUUUAUCCCUGAACAAAUGAAGCAUUUCCUGUGGCAUCUACUUUCUAUCGCCUGGUCGUGUGUUGCGCUUUUCGGAGUUAUAUUCUGAUAAUUUUUUUGACAAAACUUAAGGAUCUGCCAACCGUGCUUAAGGUGGAAGGAACUUUAUUUUCUUUGCGUUUUUUCUUAACGAAAGUACAUUUUCUCCCGAGCUAUGUAUGGGAUUAGGUAUACUAUUCUGAUGUGGAGGUAAAUCGUUCCGAACCAUAAGGACUCCGUAAAACAUAAUCCUUGGUAUAUUUUUUUGUUUUAAAGAAAGUAGAGUGUAUAUUUUAUUCUCUACAAGUCCUAUAGGCAAAUUUAUUAUUCUCUAUUCAACAAUUAUGUAACUUCUAAUGUAUGUAGCUAUAGUUUUAUAAUAAGUGCAUUUACUUUGGUCAUUUGAGUAUACUGAUUUUAAUCGAUUCACUUAUAACUAUUUGUUUAGAUAAAAGUGUGAACUUUGUA